UCAUUCUCUCACUCUUUUUCGUUCCUCAACCCUCAACCGUCUCUCAUUCUCUCUCCAAUCUCUCCAUCUCUCCCCCUUUCCCUUGUGCAGCCACCUUGUCGCCUUUCUCAUCCCUCUUCGCCAUCAGUAGCAGCGGCGAACGGCAACGCCCGUCACAUCCUCGCCAACACAGUGCAAUAUUGCUUCGGUCGCUGGCAUCUUCUCGUCGACGCAAACGGUCGUUGCCGCUGCUGGUCCAAGGGCGCAUCCUGACGCCGCAGUGCCUCCGCGCUUGUAGCCCAUCUCGCCAAUCAAGGUGAGGAUCUCUGUUAUCACGAUUUUCCUGUUCGGCGGCGAAGUUCAACAAAGGGAAAAAGUUGCUGCUUCGUUCAAUUCGUUCAAGUUUGCUGAAAAAAGAAAGCUUCCACAAUAUCUGUGUUCGUAGAAUCAAAUGCUGCUUCGCACAAUGGAGUCUACGGCGGCUGAACCACCAAAGCAUCGUGGCUGUUAGAUUGAUUUUUCAGCUAGACUCAUGUUCAUCGAAGAAUUGUGUUCCGUUCGUUUAGAAAUUAUGUUUGUUCAUUUAAAAAAUUUUGUUAUGUUCAUCUAGAAAUUGUAUCGUGUUCAUUGAAAAGUCAUGAUUGUUCGUUUUAUAAUAUAUUACGGCGGCUGAACCACCAAAGCAUCGUGGCUGUUAGAUUGAUUUUCCAGCUAGACUCAUGUUCAUCGAAGAAUUGUGUUCUGUUCGUUUAGAAAUUAUGUUUGUUCAUUUAAAAUUUUUUGUUAUGUUCAUCUAGAAAUUGUAUUGUGUUCAUUGAAAAGUCGUGAUUGUUCGUUUUAUAUUAUAUUCAUGAUAAAUAUUACUUUA